rnacentral:tRNA from 1 species
AGUUUUAUAAUUUAACUAAAAAUAUUAAAUUGCAAAUUUAAAAUUAUAAUACUGAUAUUAUUAAGACUU